rnacentral:lncRNA from 1 species
AACCAUUUCGGCGUGAGCUUUAACAAUCUUAGGAUAAUGAGAGGUAGGGACAAGGAAACCAUCGACAAUCGCUAAGCAAGCACAUCGAAUCCUCAUAUCUGCAUCGGAGAUAAUCCUUUUCUUCAACAUCGUAAUAGCCCGGUCUACAGUUACAUCUUCUUCAAGGCCAAACAACUUACUGUAAAAUGGAAUCGUCAUCCCCGCAGUGCCUUUCUUCUUUUUCUUCUUCAAAGCCGGAUACUUCCCACAAGGUAAACCCGUAACAAUCUUGAACUCUCUCAAAGAAAAACGAAUAGGAAUUCCGGCAAAGAGCACCCAAAUCUCGUUCGGCUUCGCCACCUCCAACUGUCUACCCAAUAUAAAAAUCCCAAAGCUCGCAGACCAGGCGGGUUUGUUAGGAAACUCCAAUAGUUGACCGAAUGUGGAUCGAGAAAGGAACUGCCGUUCACCAUCGUCGAGAGCGUUGAAGAUAGCGCAAAGGGUUUUCAUCUUAUGAUACACAUUAACCCUCUCGCCGCGAGGCUCGUGACCAAACGCAAUCAACCGGGGAGGAAGCAGAAUCGGAGGCAUUGGUUCUGAGAAAAAAAAAAAAUCUAGUUACACAACAAUAAACACGGCGUUCAAAGCUUAAUCAAACAGAAAAAAAACGAUUUUAAUUACAAGAAAAGAGGAGAAGAACAAAACCCAGAUCUGAGAGAUAACCCUUUGCUAGAAAAACAGAACCAGAGAAAAAGAAGACGAGAGGACAGUUUUGGGGAGUUGUUUCCUUUUUCUCUCUGACUGAAAACACCGUCUCUCCUCCUCAUAUAUGAUGAGAACAAACACGACGGUUCGGAAACUGGAGAAAAAAAAAAUUUAAAUCGCACAUCUCCCCAAAACAAUAUUCCCAAAAUCUUCUCCUACCUUCUGCAAUGAUACAACCCUAUAAUCUAAAUACGAUUCCUUUGAUGCUAUAGGGGUACAUGCGUCAAAAAAAAUUGAACAGAAACGAUGGAACAGUGUAAACAGGAGGGACUUAAUUAUCGCUUCCUCUAUGCAUAUCCCUUGAUAUUUCCCUUUAAUUAAAGCAAAAAAAACUGCUGCUCUUGUUACCAAGGCACCAUUAAUGUAUUAAAGUAUUUUUGUUUUUGUUUUAAUAUUUAUAUUUAAGAUUUCUGCCAGAAAAAAAUAAAGAAUUGAUCCGUGCAUAUAGUGCUCUUAUUACCAAGACACCAUUCUUGUAUUUUUGUUUUAGUUUUAAUUAAAGCAAAAAAUCUACAUGUAGUGCUCUUGUUACCAAUACACUAUUCAUGUAUUUAAAUAUUUUUGUUUUUGUUUUAAUAUUUAGAUUUAAGAUA